GGUUAUUUUUGUGAUUUUUCAAUCGGUUUUUAUAAUGACUGGGAAAAAUGUCAGAAAAGCGAAAAAUUUUUUUGUGAAAACAAAUUUUCUACCUUACCAAUUCCCACUUACAAAAGUGUUUACACCUAUGUGCGAAGUAUGUCAGUCUUUUUGUACACGGUAUUUAUUUUAUAUAAUUUGUGAAUAUGAAAAUGUAUGCCUUUUUGCAGUUAAU